UAUUCUGGCCACACCACCCUAAACACGCCUGUUCAGGUUCGGGCCUGGUUAGUACUGGGACGGAGACUGCCUGGAAAUACCAGGUGCCGUAAUAA
rnacentral:rRNA from 1 species